rnacentral:rRNA from 1 species
UACGUAGGGGGCUAGCGUUGUCCGGAAUCAUUGGGCGUAAAGCGCGUGUAGGCGGUUCGGUAAGUCCGCUGUGAAAGUCGGGGGCUCAACCCUCGAAUGCCGGUGGAUACUGUCGAACUAGAGUGCGGAAGAGGCGAGUGGAAUUCCUGGUGUAGCGGUGAAAUGCGCAGAUAUCGGGAGGAACACCUAUGGCGAAGGCAGCUCGCUGGGACGUUACUGACGCUGAGACGCGAAAGCGUGGGGAGCAAACAGG